rnacentral:rRNA from 1 species
AGCGAACGCUGGCGGCAGGCUUAACACAUGCAAGUCGAACGCCAUCUUCGGAUGGAGUGGCAGACGGGUGAGUAACGCGUGGGAACGUACCUUUUGGUUCGGAAUAUUCUCGGGAAACUGAGAGCAAUACCGAAUAAGCCCUUAGGGGGAAAGAUUUAUUGCCAAAAGAUCGGCCCGCGUUAGAUUAGGUAGUUGGUAGGGUAAUGGCCUACCAAGCCUACGAUCUAUAGCUGGUCCGAGAGGAUGAUCAGCCACAUUGGGACUGAGACACGGCCCAAACUCCUACGGGAGGCAGCAGUGGGGAAUAUUGGACAAUGGGCGCAAGCCUGAUCCAGCCAUGCCGCGUGAAUGAUGAAGGCCUUAGGGUUGUAAAAUUCUUUCAACGGGGACGAUAAUGACGGUACCCGUAGAAGAAGCCCCGGCUAACUUCGUGCCAGCAGCCGCCGCCG